CAGUAUCAUUGUUCUUUCCGUCGGGGGGCUCCCAAUGGUGAUAGGUAGUUCGACCACGCCCAGAGGAACCAGCUUCCCUCCUCCGAACCCCUUCAAGGAGGUGUUGGUGUAUUCCAACUUCCGGUCGGCUAUUCCCAUCUCUUCCAGGGUUGACUUAAAUAACACAUCAACUGAGCUCCCUGUAUCAACCAGUAUCCGGUCAAAUUUCUUGCUAGCGACCGUAGCCUUGAUGACUAAGGCGUCCUCGUGGGGGUAUAGGAUCCCUUCCUCAUCCUCAUCCGUCCACAUGAUUAGCACUUGCCUGACCCUUGCCCGUUUGGC
rnacentral:lncRNA from 1 species